rnacentral:rRNA from 1 species
AGUGCAUGGUGGUGGAUGCCUUGGCGAUUACAGGCGAUGAAGGACGUGCAAGCCUGCGAAAAGCGGGGGGAGCUGGCAAUGGAGCUUUGAUCCCCCGAUGUCCGAAUGGGGAAACCCCACCCGCAAGGGUAUCCCUGGCUGAAUACAUAGGCCAGUGGAGGCGAACCGGGAGAACUGAAACAUCUAAGUACCCCGAGGAAAAGAAAUCAACCGAGAUUCCCCAAGUAGUGGCGAGCGAACGGGGAUGAGCCUGCACGACUAAACCGGCUUCUUAGCAGAACAACCUGGAAAGGUUGGCCAUAGUGGGUGAUAGCCCCGUAUGCGAAAAGUAGCCGGCGGGUCUGAGCGUGCGACAAGUAGGGCGGGACACGAGAAAUCCUGUCUGAAGAUGGGGGGACCAUCCUCCAAGGCUAAAUACUCGUAAUCGACCGAUAGUGAACCAGUACCGUGAGGGAAAGGCGAAAAGAACCCCGGGAGGGGAGUGAAAUAGAUCCUGAA